rnacentral:rRNA from 1 species
GCUGACGAGUGGCGAACGGGUGAGUAAUGCAUCGGAACGUGCCCAAUCGUGGGGGAUAACGUAGCGAAAGUUACGCUAAUACCGCAUAAGCCCUGAGGGGGAAAGCAGGGGAUCGCAAGACCUUGCGCGAAUGGAGCGGCCGAUGUCAGAUUAGCUAGUUGGUGGGGUAAAGGCCUACCAAGGCGACGAUCUGUAGCGGGUCUGAGAGGAUGAUCCGCCACACUGGGACUGAGACACGGCCCAGACUCCUACGGGAGGCAGCAGUGGGGAAUUUUGGACAAUGGGCGCAAGCCUGAUCCAGCCAUGCCGCGUGCGGGACGAAGGCCUUCGGGUUGUAAACCGCUUUCAGCCGGAAAGAAAUCGCCAAGGCUAAUAUCCUUGGUGGAUGACGGUACCGGAAGAAGAAGCACCGGCUAACUACGUGCCAGCAGCCGCGGUAAUACGUAGGGUGCGAGCGUUAAUCGGAAUUACUGGGCGUAAAGGGUG